CAGGUCUGCAAAAAACCUAUUCAGGGUGUUCCCAUGCAUCAGGCGCAAAAAUAAGGACGAUGAUCCAGAUCUCCCAGAUGAUCCUGAUGGGAGAUUCCUGAGUUGCUUGAAGAAGUGCGAGUCGUAUGUCUUUAACGAAAUUGGAGAGCCCCUCUUCCGCCACAGAGGCUGAUCUUAAGUCCACAUCGGACAG